AGCGAGUCUUAACUGGGCGCUCAGUCUCUGGAUAUAGACCCGAAACCGGGUGAUCUAGCCAUGGGCAGGUUGAAGGUUGAGUAACAUCAACUGGAGGACCGAACCGACUAAUGUUGAAAAAUUAGCGGAUGACUUGUGGCUAGGGGUGAAAGGCCAAUCAAACUCGGAGAUAGCUGGUUCUCCCCGAAAGCUAUUUAGGUAGCGCCUCGGACGAAUACUACUGGGGGUAGAGCACUGUUAAGGCUAGGGGGUCAUCCCGACUUACCAACCCUUUGCAAACUCCGAAUACCAGUAAGUACUAUCCGGGAGACACACGGCGGGUGCUAACGUCCGUCGUGGAGAGGGAAACAACCCAGACCGCCAGCUAAGGUCCCAAAGUAUUGCUAAGUGGGAAACGAUGUGGGAAGGCUCAGACAGCUAGGAUGUUGGCUUAGAAGCAGCCAUCAUUUAAAGAAAGCGUAAUAGCUCACUAGUCGAGUCGGCCUGCGCGGAAGAUGUAACGGGGCUAAGCAAUACACCGAAGCUGCGGCAAUGUCUUUUAGACAUUGGGUAGGGGAGCGUUCUGUAAGCCGUUGAAGGUGAAUCGUAAGGUUUGCUGGAGGUAUCAGAAGUGCGAAUGCUGACAUGAGUAACGACAAAGGGGGUGAAAAACCUCCUCGCCGGAAGACCAAGGGUUCCUGUCCAACGUUAAUCGGGGCAGGGUGAGUCGACCCCUAAGGUGAGGCCGAAAGGCGUAAUCGAUGGGAAACGGGUUAAUAUUCCCGUACUUCUGACUAUUGCGAUGGGGGGACGGAGAAGGCUAGGUGGGCCAGGCGACGGUUGUCCUGGUUCAAGUGCGUAGGCUUGAGAGUUAGGUAAAUCCGGCUCUCUCUAAGGCUGAGACACGACGUCGAGCUACUACGGUAGUGAAGUCAUUGAUGCCAUGCUUCCAGGAAAAGCCUCUAAGCUUCAGAUAGUCAGGAAUCGUACCCCAAACCGACACAGGUGGUCGGGUAGAGAAUACCAAGGCGCUUGAGAGAACUCGGGUGAAGGAACUAGGCAAAAUGGUACCGUAACUUCGGGAGAAGGUACGCUCUUGAUGGUGAAGUCCCUCGCGGAUGGAGCUGACGAGAGUCGCAGAUACCAGGUGGCUGCAACUGUUUAUUAAAAACACAGCACUGUGCAAAAUCGCAAGAUGACGUAUACGGUGUGACGCCUGCCCGGUGCCGGAAGGUUAAUUGAUGGGGUUAGCGCAAGCGAAGCUCUUGAUCGAAGCCCCGGUAAACGGCGGCCGUAACUAUAACGGUCCUAAGGUAGCGAAAUUCCUUGUCGGGUAAGUUCCGACCUGCACGAAUGGCGUAAUGAUGGCCACGCUGUCUCCACCCGAGACUCAGUGAAAUUGAAAUCGCUGUGAAGAUGCAGUGUACCCGCGGCUAGACGGAAAGACCCCGUGAACCUUUACUACAGCUUGGCACUGAACAUUGAACCUACAUGUGUAGGAUAGGUGGGAGGCUAUGAAGACGUGACGCCAGUUGCGUUGGAGCCGUCCUUGAAAUACCACCCUUGUAUGUUUGAUGUUCUAACUUAGACCCAUUAUC
rnacentral:rRNA from 1 species